AGAGUUUGAUCCUGGCUCAGGAUGAACGCUGGCGGCGUGCUUAACACAUGCAAGUCGAACGCACCUUCGGGUGAGUGGCGGACGGGUGAGUAACGCGUGGGAAUCUGCCCUCAGGAGGGGGAUAACGGCUGGAAACGGCCGCUAAUACCCCAUAUGCCGAGAGGUGAAACGAAUUUCGCCUGAGGAUGAGCCCGCGUCUGAUUAGCUAGUUGGUGGGGUAAUGGCCCACCAAGGCGACGAUCAGUAGCUGGUCUGAGAGGAUGAUCAGCCACACUGGGACUGAGACACGGCCCAGACUCCUACGGGAGGCAGCAGUGGGGAAUUUUCCGCAAUGGGCGAAAGCCUGACGGAGCAGCGCCGCGUGAGGGAUGAAGGCCUCUGGGCUGUAAACCUCUUUUCUCAAGGAAGAAGACAUGACGGUACUUGAGGAAUAAGCCACGGCUAAUUCCGUGCCAGCAGCCGCGGUAAUACGGGAGUGGCAAGCGUUAUCCGGAAUUAUUGGGCGUAAAGCGUCCGCAGGCGGCCCUGUAAGUCUGUCGUUAAAGCGUGGAGCUUAACUCCAUUUAAGCGAUGGAAACUACAGGGCUUGAGUGUGGUAGGGGCAGAGGGAAUUCCCGGUGUAGCGGUGAAAUGCGUAGAUAUCGGGAAGAACACCAGUGGCGAAGGCGCUCUGCUGGGCCAUAACUGACGCUCAUGGACGAAAGCCAGGGGAGCGAAAGGGAUUAGAUACCCCUGUAGUCCUGGCCGUAAACGAUGAACACUAGGUGUCGGGGGAAUCGACCCCCUCGGUGUCGUAGCCAACGCGUUAAGUGUUCCGCCUGGGGAGUACGCACGCAAGUGUGAAACUCAAAGGAAUUGACGGGGGCCCGCACAAGCGGUGGAGUAUGUGGUUUAAUUCGAUGCAACGCGAAGAACCUUACCAGGGUUUGACAUCCUGCGAAUCCCUUGGAAACUAGGGAGUGCCUUCGGGAGCGCAGAGACAGGUGGUGCAUGGCUGUCGUCAGCUCGUGUCGUGAGAUGUUGGGUUAAGUCCCGCAACGAGCGCAACCCACGUCUUUAGUUGCCAGCAUUCAGUUGGGCACUCUAGAGAGACCGCCGGUGAUAAACCGGAGGAAGGUGUGGAUGACGUCAAGUCAUCAUGCCCCUUACAUCCUGGGCUACACACGUACUACAAUGCUACGGACAAAGGGCAGCAAGCUCGCGAGAGUUAGCAAAUCCCAUAAACCGUGGCUCAGUUCAGAUCGUAGGCUGCAACUCGCCUACGUGAAGGAGGAAUCGCUAGUAAUCGCAGAUCAGCAUACUGCGGUGAAUACGUUCCCGGGCCUUGUACACACCGCCCGUCACACCAUGGAAGUUGGCCAUGCCCGAAGUCGUUACUCCAACCCUUGUGGAGGAGGACGCCGAAGGUGGGGCUGAUGACUGGGGUGAAGUCGC
rnacentral:rRNA from 1 species